rnacentral:lncRNA from 1 species
AAGUUGUUGGGUAGUUCACAACAAAAAAGUCGUUGACUAAAUUCUUUGACAUAUUGUUGAAUAUUAUUGAGUAUUAUUGAGCCAUUGUUGAGUAGUUUCCAACAAAAAAGUCGUUGACUAAA